rnacentral:lncRNA from 1 species
CCCGUCUCUGCUUCCCCCCCCUUCCCCCCCCCCUUUUCUCCCGGCCGACGGAGCUGAAGGGGCGGGGGUUCCUUCCUUGGAGUGUUUCUAGAGCUCGGAGGCUGCUGGUAGGGGGGCACCACUUUCAGAUAAAAACAUAGACCUGAAUGGCAUCAUCCAGUAUCCAAGGAAACCAUGCAGUUUUGAACAUCUGGAGGCCUGAUUUAUUGGAGAUUGCAAAUGUACAGUGUAACAUAGCUGUGGAGAGCGAGAAGAUCAGGAUUGUCAAUGCUGUCAUUGCUUUUACUGGAAUCCCCAGCACGAAUUGAAGGUCUCACUUUGCCACCUAGGCUGGAUGCAAUGCAACGGUAUGUUGAUCUUGGUUCACUGCAGCCUCAACCUCCUGAGCUCAUGUGAUCCUCCCACCUCAGUCCCCCACGUCGCUUGGAUUACAGGCCUGUGCCACCACACCUGGCUAACUUUUUUUGUAAUUUUUGUAGAGACAGGGUCUCACUAUGUUUCCCAUGCUGGUCUUUAAUGCCUGAGCUCAAGCCAUCCGCCUGCCUCGGCCUCCCAAAUUGCUGGGAUUACAGGCAUGAGCCACCAUGCCCAGCCUAAUUCUUCUAAAUCUUAUCCUAGUAAUUAAGCCAGAAUUUUUCUCUGCCAAGACCAAUAGAUGGACCAAGAAGUACUCAUCCUUGUAAACUUUCUUUGGAUAAAUUGCUUACAUAUAAUAAAUUCAGAGUUAAGUAAUAAAAAUAAUGAACUACUGUCUUG